AUUGAACGCUGGCGGCAGGCCUAACACAUGCAAGUCGAACGGUAACAGGAAACAGCUUGCUGUUUCGCUGACGAGUGGCGGACGGGUGAGUAAUGUCUGGGAAACUGCCUGAUGGAGGGGGAUAACUACUGGAAACGGUAGCUAAUACCGCAUAACGUCGCAAGACCAAAGAGGGGGACCCUCGGGCCUCUUGCCAUCGGAUGUGCCCAGAUGGGAUUAGCUUGUUGGUGGGGUAACGGCUCACCAAGGCGACGAUCCCUAGCUGGUCUGAGAGGAUGACCAGCCACACUGGAACUGAGACACGGUCCAGACUCCUACGGGAGGCAGCAGUGGGGAAUAUUGCACAAAGGGCGCAAGCCUGAUGCAGCCAUGCCGCGUGUAUGAAGAAGGCCUUCGGGUUGUAAAGUACUUUCAGCGGGGAGGAAGGGAGUAAAGUUAAUACCUUUGCUCAUUGACGUUACCCGCAGGAGAAGCACCGGCUAACUCCGUG
rnacentral:rRNA from 1 species